GAGGACAAUAAGAGCUCCUCCUCCUUUCUCUCUCUCUCUCUCUCUCUCUCUCUCUCUCUCUCUCUUGCCUCCAUCUCUCUCUCCUUCCCUCUCUCUCACCAGGGAAACGUUUGGUGACCAUUUGUCUGCCACGUAAGCCUGCUGCUAGUUCUCACUCUGCCUCUCAGCGAGAAUUCUCUCGUACUGAGGACCCUAACCCUAACCCUAACCUCUGGACAAUGCUGUUACAACGCUGUUACAACCUCCACACAACGUCUCUCUGCUCCAAUGGACUGCCAUGGACAGACGACAGGAGUCUACCUGAAUCAACACUUUCUCUGCUGGCAGAGGAAAGAUGAGAGGGAGAGAGAGAAGAGGAGAGAGAGAGAGGAGAGAGGGAGAUAGGAGAGAGGGAGUUGGAGGGUGAAAAAGUGGAGGGUAAAUUUGGUUGAGAUAGCAUGAAGAGACAAAUCCACUGACCAGCGCUAUCACCAACCGGCAAAGGGGACUUCUCUCCGGAGAGACGCCAAGAGGUGAAAGAGGGAGAGAGGAGACGGAGAGCGAGAGUCCAUUGACCAACCCAUUCAGGACCCUCAAAAUGGACUAGACAAGACCUCUCCUUCUUUCUACACUGGGCAGAAAUCCCUCUUCUCUCCUGAGCCCACGGGAUUGGUCAAAUAGCUAUUUUGGAUACAGUGCAGAUAACGCAGUGAGUAGUGUGUAUGUUUGAGUGAGUUCAGUGUCUAUGUGUGUGUGUGUGAGCGCGAGUGUCUGCGUGCAUGCGCGUGAGUGAGUGUGAGCAUGUAAGUGUGUGUGUGUGUGUGUGUGUGUGUGUGUGUGUGUGUGUGUGUGUGUGUGUGUGUGUGUGUGUGUGUGUGUGUGUGUGUGUGUGUGUGUGUGUGUGUGUGUGUGUGUGUGUGUGUGCAGUAUGUGUGAGUGUUUACAUGUAUAUAUGUGUACCUCCUUCACCCUCCUCCCUCGUGGACCAGCAGCCCGCCCCGCCUGCCCAGUGUUCAGACUACCUGUUCAGGAAGUAGUGGUUGCACAGUAGUCUGCACAUUGGUUAGGCUGGGUGGGGAAGCGCGAGAAUCAGGACACAGAGAGACAGCUAGCCAGUGGGCGACAGCAGCCAAAAAGACCAUGGCACUACUCUGGGCAAGCCUGGCACAGCAUUAAGAAUCCAAACCACAGGUUCAACCACAGAAACAGGCCAUGCCCAACUAUAUACCUGUCUAGUACUGUUGUGUUCUGUUCUGAGUUGAUGACUGACUGUAUGUCCUGAGAAAUUGAAAUACCUUUUUUGAAGAUCAGUCUGGGCCUAUUUAGUGUCUUUUCUGGGUUAAGACGUCUGCCAUAGAGGUAGGAUCCAGAAAUGGUACUUUAUAUUUUGUAAAUAUUGUCAUGGGCAAGAAUUAAAACUGCAGAUUUCAACUUUGCAUAAGACUGUACAUGCUAUAUAAUUAAAAUGUUACAGUUGAAUGGGAAACACUGGUAUUGGUAAUGAACAUCGAUAUUCUAAAGAUGGCUUCUACUGGAGUGGUUAUAUUUCUAUGAAGAACCCAAAAUAUUCCAACCACUGGAAAAUGACCAAAAUACAGCAUACAGGAGGAUGACUAAGAUACAGCAUACAGGGGGAUGACUAAAAUACAGCAUACAGGGGGAUGACUAAGAUACAGCAUACAGGAGGAUGACUAAGAUACAGCAUACAGGGGGAUGACUAAGAUACAGCAUACAGGGGGAUGACUAAAAUACAGCAUACAGGAGGAUGACUAAGAUACAGCAUACAGGAGGAUGACUAAGAUACAGCAUACAGGGGGAUGACUAAAAUACAGCAUACAGGAGGAUGACUAAGAUACAGCAUACAGGAGGAUGACUAAGAUACAGCAUACAGGAGGAUGACUAAGAUACAGCAUACAGGGGGAUGACUAAGAUACAGCAUACAGGGGGAUGACUAAGAUACAGCAUACAGGGGGAUGACUAAGAUACAGCAUACAGGAGGAUGACUAAGAUACAGCAUACAGGAGGAUGACUAAGAUACAGCAUACAGGGAGAGGAAUGACCAUAGAUUGUUAACCCAAAGUGUAACUGUUGCUCUAUGCUAAACUGAAGCUUACAAUUAAGUCACUGCCUGAGCAACAUAAAGAAGUGGUGGUUGUCUCAAGAUGACCAAUUGGCAGACAACCUCCAAGAAAGCUACAUCUAAAGUCCCUGACAUGAAAUAAAAUACUUGAACAUAUCUAAA